AGCACAUGCAUGCUUUUCCACUCCCCAAUCACUUCCCCCUCCAAAGGGAAAAAGGAGAUAUGAAGACCAGUGAGAGCAAAGGUUGCUGUUGGCUGCAUGGACUGUUGAUGAAAUGCUGAGCUAGUGAGAGUCAGGCCCUCCUCAAGGAGAGUGAGAGAGGAGGGGAAAGUGAGAGCUGGAGAGAUCUCUUCUCUCCUUCCUUGCUCUCUCUCUCUCUCUCUCCAUAUCUCCCCCUCUCUCUGCCUCCUCUCUCAGUGCCUCUGCCUCUUUCUCUCUCUGCCUUUCAUUCUCUCCACAUAUCCCAAUUGAACUGCUGAUGCUCUACAAUCUCAACAGCCCUUCUCUCUUCCGGCAAGUUUAAUAUCUUCAUCAUUAAUAUUCCUACUCAAGUUUUUCCCACAGAGGGCCUCUCCACAUAUUACUGCACGUUACUCCACUAAGAGAGAAAUGGCUCAAGAAGAGGUGAGAUCCAUUAGUCCAAGAGUUGCCUGCAUUCUUUUGAAAGUGUAGGCACAGAAUUUUCUCCUGCAGCCAGAGACUGAGGGGGACAGACUCCUGUAAUUUCCAUCUUCUUUGCUCCGAAUGAGGACGUGAGAAAUUCUUCCCAACUGCUUCGUUUUGAAGGGAAAGGAACUUGUUUGUACUUCUUUCUACUUCAUAAAGGGAAAGUGAAGAAUAAAUUAACAUUGUCAACUUAACUUACUAAUAGUUAUUCUGUUCAAAGUUAAGUUGACAAAUUUGGAUUAUGAAAUGUGUUGUGAAUGCUUGGAUAAAAGUGUGCUGUUCCCUAGGAACCGGUGUGGGAUCAGCAUGAACAAGUCAUGCUAAACCCUUCUUUUGGGAAACUAUAUUGGAAACUAUAUUAGGGAAAUACCAUAGACAGGAUGUACAUUCUUCUCACAUAUGCAUUGUGAUAUGAAGCCCAGAUAGAACAGCCAAUAUGAUGAAUUAAGGAAAUAAGAUUGAAAAUUAUC
rnacentral:lncRNA from 10 species